GGAGGUGCACAAGACCUUCGAUCCGAAGAUUUCCGAAUGGGGCAACCCAGUAGAUUGAAGAUCUAUUAUCCUAUGUAUGUAGGAGGCGAACCUGCUGAACUGAAACAUCUAAGUAAGCAGAGGAAGAGAAAACAAAAGUGAUUCCGUAAGUAGUGGCGAGCGAACGCGGAUUAGCCCAAACCAGUGUUGUUGCGGCAAGACUGGGGUUGUAGGACCACGUGAUCGAUUAUAUAAAUGAACAAGAACUGUCUGGGAAGGCAGGCCAUAGAAGGUGAGAGCCCUGUAUCGGUAAGCUUAUAUAAUUGUAGUGGUAUCCUGAGUAGGGGGGGACUGGAGAAAUCCCCUUUGAAUCUGCCGGCACCAUCCGGUAAGGCUAAAUACUACCAAGAGACCGAUAGUGAACUAGUACUGUGAAGGAAAGGUGAAAAGUACCCUGAGUAAGGGGGUGAAAAGAACCUGAAACCAUACGCUUACAAGCGGUCGGAGCAGAGCGAUUCUGUGACGGCGUGCCUUUUGCAUAAUGAUCCUACGAGUUACUCCUCACUGGCGAGGUUAAGUUCUUAUUUAACGGAGCCGAAGCGAAAGCGAGUCCAAAUAGGGCGAUUAGUCAGUGGGGGUAGACGCGAAACUUUGUGAUCUAUCCAUGGGCAGGUUGAAGGUGUGGUAACACACACUGGAGGACCGAACUCGUUGACGUUGAAAAGUCUUGAGAUGACCUGUGGAUAGGGGUGAAAGGCCAAUCAAACUGAGAGAUAGCUCGUUCUCCCCGAAAUGUUUUUAGGAACAGCCUCGGCUAAAGAAGUAUGAUAGAGGUAGAGCUACUGAUUGGGCUAGGGGGCUUCACCGCCUACCAAAUCCUGACAAACUCCGAAUGCUAUCAUAUAUCGCCUGGAGUGAGGCUGUGGGCGCUAAGGUCCAUGGCCGAGAGGGAAAUAACCCAGAUUAGCAAUUAAGGUCCCUAAUACGUGGUUAAGUUGAUCAAACGUGGUGGAAUUUCUAUAACAGCCAGGAUGUUGGCUUGGAAGCAGCCAUUCAUUUAAAGAGUGCGUAACAGCUCACUGGUCGAGAGAUCCUGCACGGAAAAUAAUCGGGCAUCAAACUAUGAACCGAAGUUCUAGAUUCAAUAUUUAUUUAUUGAGUGGUAGGGGAGCAUUGAAAUCUGCAUCGAAGGUGUGGCGCGAGCCAUGCUGGAGCGAUUUCAAAAGAAAAUGUAGGUAUAAGUAACGAUAAAAGUAGUGAAAAACUACUUCGCCGAAAGUCUAAGGUUUCCUGAUCAACGUUAAUCGGAUCAGGGUUAGUCUGGUCCUUAGGAAAACCCGAAAGGGGCAUCUGAUGGAAAGCUAGUUAAUAUUCUAGCACCUACUAUGCAUUAAAAGUGACGCAGGGACGUGGUUGUUACGAACAGACGGAUGUUCGUUGAGUGGAACCUUCGGGGGAAGCGAAACAAUAAAAUCCCUGCCAAGAAAAGCGAGCAUAGCAGCCAGUACCGGAAUCCGACACAGGUAGACGGGAUGAGUAUUCUAAGGCGCUCGGGUGAGCCGCGGAGAAGGAACUAGGCAAAUUGAUGCUGUAACUUCGGGAUAAAGCAUGCCGAUUUCGGUCGGCCUCAGUAAAAUGGUUCAACCAACUGUUUAGCAAAAACACAGGGCCCUGCAAAAUCGAAAGAUGACGUAUAGAGCCUGAUACCUGCCCGGUGCUGGAAGGUUAAGGAAGGAUGUUCGACGCAAGUCAAAGCUUCUGACUGAAGCCCCAGUAAACGGCGGCCGUAACUAUAACGGUCCUAAGGUAGCGAAAUUCCUUGUCGGGUAAGUUCCGACCU
rnacentral:rRNA from 1 species